rnacentral:tRNA from 1 species
UCCAGGGUAGCCUAGUGGACAUGGCAUCUGCCUGGUAAGCGGAACAUUGUAGGUUCGAUACCCAUCUCUGGAC